UUUAGCAUUAUAAGCUGCUCCAAAAACACAAGUGCUUUUGGAUUAUCUGAAAGCAUUCCUCUGUUUUUGGAUUAUCAAAUGGUUGGGUGGUGUUUUGUUAGUUGCUUUGCAUUAUUUACUUGCAUAAUAGAGUGAGCGAGCUUUUGGUAGUUACAUGCCAAGAAGUACGCACUAAUAUCAGUAUUUUCUUUUUCCCAUGAAUCAUGUUCUGUUGUAGUUUCUGGAGGAGCUUACUCAACUGAUGAGCUACUAAAGCAUGGUGCAUAAAUUUGUUGAGUAAGAGGUAAAAAGGGAGGGUGAUAAAAUUGUACCAUUAUGAAAAUACAAGUAAGCAAUAAUCUGGACCAACCAAGUUGACCCACUCUGCAAAUGGGUACCUAACAGAACUUAAGCACACUGGUCAAUUUUCUCUGAUUUAAAUCUUGUUGUACAGACGACUAAGUUAUGGGUUGUCUACUCCUAGAUACAGGUCCUUCAAAAGCAUUACUGACCCCCAGGAGGAAUACCAGUAGCCAGGGCAAUGCAGGGUGCAAGGGCAAACAAAGAAAAAAGCUGGUCAUGGCUAAGUAGAUUGGAUGGGAAGAUGAUGUGAAACUGAGUUUCUGAUGCUAUAUAAUGGACUUCCAAGAGAAUCUCCCUCCCAUUACGUUGAUUUUUUCAAUGGUAUACUUUCUCAUGCUUUGAAAUUUCUCUUCCUUACCUUUUUAAUGGUCCCUAACUUUAAUUUCCUUCUUCAUUUUGAGCUUGACAUUAAUAUAUAUAGAUAAUGAUGAAAUCUUAUUAAUAAACCAAUGAUUUAUCAAAAAAAA